GAACGACUCGAACCGAGCCGCAACGACUCGACCCGAGACGACCCAGCGCAGUCUCGAUCGCCUCGGGCGUCCGCUUCCGCCGCUCCCGUCCCGCCGAAUAGUUAUAGUUAUAAUUGUUAUAUUAUGUCGACGUUGAUUGUUCGAAAUUGGUCGGUUGAAGUUGCCACGUUACAUCGCUCGCAGCACGAUCGCCCGAGACAGACAAUUAAAACUUCCAUAAUGCAGCCGGCCGGAUUAUUCCUGUUCGGGGAAGAAUUAUCAUCCCCGAUCGCAGCCGAGAACCGACCGCCGAGUCUCCGAGGACCAAUUACGAUCCCGCCAACGAAACGAUCGCCGCUGAAACGCUGUAACGAGCAUGCGCCACUUUUUACGCGGGCUUCUCUUGCCCGGUUUCUCGGCGUGGCCAUUUUCCAAGAGCCGGUUCCGCCGUUCGGAGACGAAGAACUUCUUUCGGGAAAGUCGCUGAGAGAAAAUAAUAACAACGUGGCAGCCACUCAAGUACAGUUAGAAUAUAAGAACUUGGAACAAGAAAAGAGAAACUCAUGAGAAAAGAUAAUAAUUUUCCGACAUGGAGAACAAUGGCUGACGAUCACCUAUCGGAUUACACAAAAAUGAAUAGAUGUAUUAUCCAUCUGUGGAUCUUGAGCAUCUUUGGGUAUCGUUAUUGAGGCAAUCUUUAGGCAGUUGUUUCAGAAGUAUUGCAAAAUAAAAGAGUGCUCCUCGAAACUUCUUGGAAAGUUACGCGAACCCGAGGAAACGGGAAAGAGUUUUAAAAUCUGCAGCCACGUUCCACUGGACUUUUUGUAUUAACAAAAUCAGUCAACGUCGUCGUAUAAUAAGCACCGCUGAAUACACAGCAAAGAGCUUUCCGGCACUGCAUCAGCAUAGUUUAAUUUAUAAACGUGACAUGUUAAUUAAAACUGCUGCUAACAAAGUUCAAUCUGUUAAGAGCGACAUAUUCGCCUCUUGUACGUUAAAGCUCGCGGUUGAUUACGGUACAAAUAGCCGCAGAAUAUUCGCUUUAUUCGAAUUUGCAAUCUUCAGCCUAAAAAGUCGCGUUUCUUCGGGCGCGUUUCCACGAAUUUCGCUCACCGUACGACGCUCGUUUCAGCGCCAAGCAUUCGAAUCCGAGGUGCUCGAGGACCAUUCACACAACUUCAGUGUUUUGUUCAUGAUUUUAUUGUUUAGAACAAUUCUGAGCUUUAUUCGACAAUUUUUCAAAACAUAUUCUCAAAGAUGUUUCUGUUUCUUUCUGUUCUUCCUAAUGUAACAGCAAUUUAUUUUAUUUAAUUGCCGGUCAUUAAGCGAACGAUUUGAAUACACGGAAUCAAAAUUCACCCAGCUACCGGCUUGCGAGGUCAAAACACGAUCAACGGACUGCGGAUUUUAUGCAUUUAUAGCAAAAGUGGAUAGAUAAAGAUGAUAAGAUGAAAUCAGGAA